UGGGGAAUAUUGCACAAUGGGCGAAAGCCUGAUGCAGCGACGCCGCGUGAGGGAUGACGGCCUUCGGGUUGUAAACCUCUUUCAGCAGGGACGAAGCGCAAGUGACGGUACCUGCAGAAGAAGCACCGGCUAACUACGUGCCAGCAGCCGCGGUAAUACGUAGGGUGCAAGCGUUGUCCGGAAUCACUGGGCGUAAAGGGUGUCGAGGCGGUUGUAUUAGUCGUUCGUAAAAUCUACGAGCUUAACUUGUAGGCGGCGAACGAAACGGUACGACUUGAGGUUUGGAGAGGUGCGUGGAACUCACGGUGUAGGGGUGAAAUCCGUUGAUAUCGUGGGGAACACCAAAGGCGAAGGCAGCGCACUGGCCAAAAUCUGACGCUCACACACGAAAGCUAGGGUAGCGAAGAGGAUUAGAUACCCCGGUAGUCCCUGAGCGGGCUGGCAAGGCGCAU
rnacentral:rRNA from 1 species